AAUAAAUAAAAACGAAGACGUGGUUAGCUCUCCCCUUGACAAGGACGGAAGAGAUUGAUUGAUCUUUCUCAUUCAUAUGGGCAUUGCUCUAUACUUGGGAUAUUUCAUUAAACAUUCU
rnacentral:ncRNA from 1 species